UACGAAGGGGGCUAGCGUUGCUCGGAAUCACUGGGCGUAAAGGGUGCGUAGGCGGGUCUUUAAGUCAGGGGUGAAAUCCUGGAGCUCAACUCCAGAACUGCCCUUGAUACUGAAGAUCUUGAGUUCGGGAGAGGUGAGUGGAACUGCGAGUGUAGAGGUGAAAUUCGUAGAUAUUCGCAAGAACACCAGUGGCGAAGGCGGCUCACUGGCCCGAUACUGACGCUGAGGCACGAAAGCGUGGGGAGCAAACAGG
rnacentral:rRNA from 1 species